rnacentral:rRNA from 1 species
UACGUAGGGUGCAAGCGUUGUCCGGAAUUAUUGGGCGUAAAGAGCUCGUAGGCGGUUUGUCGCGUCGAAUGUGAAAACCCGGGGCUCAACCCCGGGCCUGCAUUCGAUCACGGGCAGACUAGAGUUCGGUAGGGGAGUCUGGAAUUCCUGGUGUAGCGGUGAAAUGCGCAGGAUAAUCAGGAGGAACACCGGUGGCGAAGGGCGG